UGUGCCCUUGAGGCGUGGCUUCCGGAGCUAACGCGUUAAGUCGACCGCCUGGGGAGUACGGCCGCAAGGUUAAAACUCAAAUGAAUUGACGGGGGCCCGCACAAGCGGUGGAGCAUGUGGUUUAAUUCGAUGCAACGCGAAGAACCUUACCUACUCUUGACAUCCACGGAACUUGCCAGAGAUGGCUUGGUGCCUUCGGGAACCGUGAGACAGGUGCUGCAUGGCUGUCGUCAGCUCGUGUUGUGAAAUGUUGGGUUAAGUCCCGCAACGAGCGCAACCCUUAUCCUUUGUUGCCAGCGGUCCGGCCGGGAACUCAAAGGAGACUGCCAGUGAUAAACUGGAGGAAGGUGGGGAUGACGUCAAGUCAUCAUGGCCCUUACGAGUAGGGCUACACACGUGCUACAAUGGCGCAUACAAAGAGAAGCGAACUCGCGAGAGCAAGCGGACCUCAUAAAGUGCGUCGUAGUCCGGAUCGGAGUCUGCAACUCGACUCCGUGAAGUCGGAAUCGCUAGUAAUCGUGGAUCAGAAUGCCACGGUGAAUACGUUCCCGGGCCUUGUACACACCGCCCGUCACACCAUGGGAGUGGGUUGCAAAAGAAG
rnacentral:rRNA from 1 species